GACGAACGCUGGCGGCGUGCCUAAUACAUGCAAGUCGAGCGCAGGAAGCCGUCUGAACCCUUCGGGGGGACGACGGUGGAAUGAGCGGCGGACGGGUGAGUAACACGUAAAGAACCUGCCCAUAGGUCUGGGAUAACCACGAGGAAUCGGGGCUAAUACCGGAUGUGUCAGCGGACCGCAUGGUCCGCUGAUGAAAGGCGCUCCGGCGUCGCCCAUGGAUGGCUUUGCGGUGCAUUAGCUAGUUGGUGGGGGAACGGCCCACCAAGGCGACGAUGCAUAGCCGACCUGGGAGGGUGAUCGGCCACACUGGGACUGAGACACGGCCCAGACGCCGACGGGAGGCAGCAGUAGGGAAUCUUCCACAAUGGACGAAAGUCUGAUGGAGCAACGCCGCGUGAACGAUGAAGGCUUUCGGGUCGUAAAGUUCUGUUGUAAGGGAAGAACAAGUGCCGCAGGCAAUGGCGGCACCUUGACGGUACCUUGCGAGAAAGCCACGGCUAACUACGUGCCAGCAGCCGCAGUAAGAC
rnacentral:rRNA from 1 species